ACCUCACCACGCUAUCACCCAAUUCACACAAAGUUUUCCACAACUAAACCCUUACCUCCAACAAUUCAUACAUAGUUUUCCAUGUAUUCAUGCAAUAAUAUCAAUUUUUCAUAGAUACAACUUCUUCUACAAUGGGAUGGUUGAUUGGGCCACUUGAAGCUGAUGUGAGUUGGCGGUCAUUGCACUAGGCCGAUGUCGAUGUCGAUGUCAGAUUGUUGUUCGACUGAUUAUCUAUGUCGUCUUCAAAUUAUUGUACGGUUGUCUUGAUUGGCGAGUCUAGUCAAAAUGUUCAUUUUUAAUCAAAGCAAGAGAACAAAAUAGAGACACAGAAAAUUAUAGGAGGAUUGAAGUGGGUAUGAUGUAGAGAAAAUUAUAGAAAAAAGCAAAAAAUAAAUAAUAAUACUUGCACAUAAUGUUAUAUAAUGAUUUACAUACAGAUGAGGUGUCAAAAAGAAAGUAAAUGAACUUUUUUUUUUUUUAAAGAAAUUCUGCCCUAUCAUAUAUUAUCACAUUAUGUGUAUAUAAAUCAUUAUAUACAUGUAUCACAACUAAUAGAAAAUUAUGUGUAGAGGGAGAUUUUGCCUGAGGCAUUUGAGUGGGUGUAGUUCAGUGGAGAAGUUGUGUAGAGUGAGAGAUUCAAAUUGGGUGGCUAUUGUGUUAGUAGAGUAUAUAUGUUUUUUUUUUAAAUAAUUAUCACCUGAAAAUAAUAAUUAGGAGGUAAUUUUUUAAAUUGAAACUUAAAAGAUAGCGUUUGAUGUAAUUUCUCUUAAUACUUGGAUAUAAUUAGGGAUUAGAGAAAAAUGUUGUUCAAGGUCGAAAUACUGUUCAUUAGCCUGUUCUGAACUAAAACAUUUGGGCCUAACUUUGGUAUCAGUAGCCCAAUGACAAAAAAUUCCACUCUUAUGUCAUUAUUUUUGAGAAAUACCCUAAUAAACUCUUUAACCCAUUUUUUGUUUAAUUAAAAAAGAGGAAAAAUUACCUACAUUUAAAUAUUAAUUUUCAUAAACAAUCGAUAUUUUUUUAAAUUUCACAUAUCAUAUGAUAAUUAGGAAUUAUUAAAUUAUAUAAUACAGAAUUAAUAUAAAAAGCAUUUUAUAUACAUAUCCACCCCACCAACACAACCAUCCCCCAUUCUAAUCAUUUUCUUAGCCCCUGUUUGACUCCCAUUAAUUUUUAUUUCAUUACAUUUCAUUUUUUUCUCUCCUAUUUUCAACCAUACAAUCUUUUAUAAAAUAAUAUUACAUUUAAAUCGAAAAUUUUUCCUUUUUUUUUCAACCACUCAUUUUUCAAAAAAUACUAUUUUACCCAUUAUUUUUUCCACGUAAUGGGGGCCAAACAGGAGCUUAUUUUCUUUCUCAUAUACCUUGUCUCUGGUCUCUCUUCCAUUCUCGUCUAUCGUCAUUAAAGAUGGUUUCCACGCCAAAUCCAGUGAGCUUGCCUCCAGCAUUCAAGCCAGUUAGCUCACCACCGUCGGUUGCUCCAUUCCAAUCUCCACCAUCUCCAGCUCCCGAGGCGGCAACACCACUAGCUCCGACUUCUAUACCCUCGAGUGAGACUCCGACUUCAACUGAAAAUUCCGCCAAUUCUCAAUGGGAAAAAACUGCAUUGGUAACUCAGGUUUUUCCAUUUCCGUUGUCGUCACC
rnacentral:lncRNA from 1 species